AUUGAACGCUGGCGGCAGGCCUAACACAUGCAAGUCGAACGGUAACAGGAAGCAGCUUGCUGCUUUGCUGACGAGUGGCGGACGGGUGAGUAAUGUCUGGGAAACUGCCCGAUGGAGGGGGAUAACUACUGGAAACGGUAGCUAAUACCGCAUAACGCCGCAAGACCAAAGAGGGGGACCUUAGGGCCUCUUGCCAUCGGAUGUGCCCAGAUGGGAUUAGCUAGUAGGUGGGGUAACGGCUCACCUAGGCGACGAUACCUAGCUGGUCUGAGAGGAUGACCCGCCACACGGGAACUGAGACACGGUCCAGACUCCUACGGGAGGCAGCAGUGGGGAAUAGUGCACAAUGGGCGCAAGCCUGAUGCAGCCAUGCCGCGUGUAUGAAGAAGGCCUUCGGGUUGUAAAGUACUUUCAGCGGGGAGGAAGGGAGUAAAGUUAAAACCUGCGCUCAUUGACGGUACCCGCAGAAGAAGCACCGGCUAACUACGUG
rnacentral:rRNA from 1 species